rnacentral:rRNA from 1 species
GGUCAGGACGAACGCUGGCGGCGUGCCUAACACAUGCAAGUCGAGCGAUGAAAUCCUUCGGGAUGGAUUAGCGGCGGACGGGUGAGUAACACGUGGGUAACCUGCCUUGUAGAGGGGGAUAGCCUUCCGAAAGGAAGAUUAAUACCGCAUAACAUCUUUUUAUCGCAUGGUAGAAAGAUCAAAGGAGCAAUCCGCUACAAGAUGGACCCGCGGCGCAUUAGCUAGUUGGUGAGGUAACGGCUCACCAAGGCGACGAUGCGUAGCCGACCUGAGAGGGUGAUCGGCCACAUUGGAACUGAGACACGGUCCAGACUCCUACGGGAGGCAGCAGUGGGGAAUAUUGCGCAAUGGGGGGAAAAACCCCUGACGCAGCAACGCCGCGUGAAUGAAGAAGGCCUUAGGGUUGUAAAGUUCUGUUUACGGGGACGAUAAUGACGGUACCCGUGGAGGAAGCCACGGCUAACUACGUGCCAGCCGCAGC